rnacentral:rRNA from 1 species
UACGAAGGGGGCUAGCGUUGUUCGGAAUUACUGGGCGUAAAGCGCGUGUAGGCUGCUCGGAAAGUCGGAUGUGAAAGCCCUAGGCUCAACCUAGGAAGUGCAUUCGAAACUUCUGCUUGAGUAUCGGAGAGGGUCGCGGAAUUCUCGGUGUAGAGGUGAAAUUCGUAGAUAUCGAGAGGAACACCGGUGGCGAAGGCGGGUCGCCUGGGCCG